rnacentral:lncRNA from 1 species
AUGGGAGGUGCGACAUUCUCUUGGUUUCCUGCCCAAUACGCAUUCCCCUCUUCUGCCUUGGUCACAGAACCCAGUGUUAUUUCAGUAGCACUAAGCCCAGCUGAGAGGCUGUCUUUCCCAGUCCACCAUACAGCUGAAGGUAACAAUGACAGUCAAGCAAACAUUGCUGGAUGGGACUUCUGGCCAAGUUUCUUCAGAGGAGGACAGAGGAAUCCAGAUGAAAAAAAUGAUCAGCCCGGGAGAGAAUGGAGAAGGAUGGCUUCUUGGAGGAGCAGAGUCUUCAUGGAAGUAAGGACUGCGGACCGGCAGAGAGGAGGCUGAAGGCACUACCACAGGCUCAAAUUUGGGUCUGGUUAUGGGAAGAAGUAUUUGCUAACCAUAUAUCUGAUGAGGGGUUGCUAUCCAAAAUAUACAGGGAACUCAUACAGCUCAAUAACAAAAAAUAAACAAUGCAAUUUAAAAAUGGGCA